UCCCAUGUAUUACUGACUUUUGACUAGAAAACCUGUGAAAAUUUAGUAGAAAACCUCUAUCAGAAAAAUGAUUUGUUGUUUAUUAUUAUUAAGGUCACUUCAUUUUUAUUUUUAAAUAUAAAAUGUUACCAAAAAUACAGAAUGCUUUGAUUUGGGGAAUUUCAGAGAAUUUCUUGUGUCCUAAUUCUGGAGAUUAAUAUCAGAAAUACGCAAGACUAAGAUAUAAAACAGAGAUAUCCUGGGGACCAGUAUCAGGGAAAGAGAAGAUCAGCAUGAAGCCUAGGAGGCAGAAGAGUUGGGAGGUUAAGCCAAGUUCAAUUACAGGGUGUCAGGACAAAAGACACCAGGAGCAGAAUGGCGUGGAUACCAGAAUUGGAAUCCUGAAGACACAUCAAAGUCAGGAAACAUCAGAGGCAAAUGAGGGGGCAGAAGAAAGGGAGUUAAAAAGGAAACUAAUUCCAGGGGUCAACAUCUUCUGGAAUCAAGAUUGCUUUAUAAUGCCUGAGCUUGGAUCUCUGUGGUCCCUGAAGCUAGAGAUUUUAAAGGAACAGCCAGUGUUGCUUCCUUCAGAAUUUAAGGAUUUAAGGACAUGCAUUUGAUAAAUUCACCUUUUGGAAAUUGAUCAAUGGAGAAUGGUGAUAGGAAAGAAAUCUAUUUCUGUAAUCAGAACUCUUCUUACACUUCUAUUUAUUAUUUAUGCAUAACUGAUCUUUCCCUUUCCUAAUUUAUAAGGGGAAGACUGGAGGGGUGGUGCAUAGGAAGAUAGAGAAGAGAGGAAGAAAGGAUGGGGGAGAAGGAGAUAGGUGAAAGUGGAGUCAUUUUUAAUCUGGGGAAGAGAGAAAGUUGAGGUUUUUUUAAUCCCUAUUUUCUUCCCAUAGGAGCAAAGGAAAGGGAAGUAUUUUUCAUCCAAGUUUAGUGAGGGACCUUCAAUAUAAUUACUUGUAGAAAUUGAAGGUGCCUGCAACAAACUAAGGCAUCCUGGUCCUUAUCUAGACUUCUGCUAAUCUGAUUGGUGUGACUACUUGGGCAGGAGGAGAGGGGAGUUGGAGAGAAAUGUCAGGCAGAGAGAAGCCUACAACCUGACUGUUUGGUGUGGCACUAAUGUGGUUUGUUGCUCUGGAUCUCUGCAGUCUUACAAAGUGGCCAGACCUCAUCCAAUUGGCUGAAGAUCCACCUAAGAGGACUGAAUGCGCGAUCCUGCUGCAAGAAGCAUGGUGGACGCCUACCCAGUGGGUUAGAAGAGGUUGAGCAACACAAGUCUUCCAUACCAGGUAUCAGUUGAAAUGAGGAUGGGCUGCACCCCAGCUAUCUCAGGGCACUCACCUGUGCCCUGGGGAGCACCAGCGUUUGUGCAUGGCCACACAGAAGGUUUCACGUAGCAAAAUCAGCAGAGUAGAUUCCAAUUGCAUGUUUAGGUUCUUUCCCCUUUUAAACGUAUUUCUCCUAGGUAAUCAUAAUCCAUGGGUUAUUUCGUUGUCACUUCAACUGUUUCAAUUGCUCUGAUCUUUUAUAGUUCUUUAACACUGCCAUGUUUCCUUUUGUGUCUAGGCUUUUACAUUUAUUGUUCCAUUUGCUCAAAACGCUUUUCCUCCUGUUCAGUGACUCACUAACUCCUACUAAUUCUUUCAAAGUUUCAGCUUAAUGUUGCUCAUUUAGGGAGCUCUUCCUUAAAUUCCUAGGGGUUUUAUCCUCCCAUACUGUGCUUUCUUAUUCUGAAAUUCCUGCUUCCCCAAAAAUGUGUCAGGAAUAAUACCUCUUAUUCAAAAUUGUACUCCAGGACCUACCACUGGGCUUAGUGGAGUAUGAAUAGUUAAUGUAUAUCCUUGUCUGAACAAAUGAAGGAAACUAACUAUAGCCACAAAAGGAGGAAUGAGAGAGGUAGAUUCGUAUUAUGCAUAUCAAUCAGUUCUGUACUUCGGACCAUUUGCACUUGGAAGCAUUGCUAUGGCCUAAUCAAAAGUCAGUUUUGUCUCUAGCUAUUUACCCACAGGCAGUCAGGAUUCAUAUAUAUCUACAUUGACAAUGUUGAUUUUGAUUGUUUUAUUAUUUUUGGCAAAGCUCAGGUGUGGGAAAGCAGUCAUGGUUGUACCCAGGUAGGCCUUUCACAGAGACGGAGCUGGGGCGGUUUACAGAAGAUGGUCUGAAGACUCUUAAGGAAUCACUUAUUUUAAAGAUCUCUAACUUAUUAGUCCAUACUGUGCCAGAAUUCCAUAGCAAUUGAAAUACUCCUUUGAAAGUGAAGGUACACUAAAGAGAGAUGCCUUCUGGGGGUGGGCGGUGAGGAGUAAUGUGGAAUAUGAAACAGCUCUCCUUUGGUGGUCUUAGGUUCCUAUGUCUGUCAUCUUCUACUCAAGAUCUAUAUCUCCUCUUCCAGUCUUGUAGGUCUUGCUUGUUGAGUACAACAGGAGGCCAAAGGCCACUGGGGAAUCUUUAGUUUCUUUAGCAGGAGAGGAGGUGCAUGGCCAAAUGCAUGGCAUGUCAUGGCAUGGCAUUUCUGAGUUUCCUGUUAGCUUUGAAAAUCCACAGUUUCAUCGAAAAUGGGGCAUUUUAUUGAAAUGAAACAGCCCUGGACUAGGAGUCAAAGACUGAGUGUUUUGUAAUUAACAACCUUGGAUGUCAGUUAAUUUCGCCAAAUUUUAGUUGCUUCCUCUGAAAAUUAAGUGUUGUAAUUUAUGAUGUCUUAGGCCUUUUCCAACCUUAACAUUUAAUAAAUAUUGAUAAUUAUUCCCAAUUAUGGAAAAUAAGGAAGAAUAAACUUUGAAAAUUCUCUUUUGUAAUAAUGCAAUAAUUUUACUUAUGAGAAGGAUAGGAAAUGGGUAAUAAAUAUAUUAAAAAGGGAGAGAGACAUUUAUCUAGAACUUGCCAAAAUAUAUUAAAGAAGAAAUCUCCUGAACAUGAAUUUUUAUUGAAAUGUCCAUCUUUCCUCUCUGGGAAAUUGAAGGACCAAACACUUGAGAAAGAUGAUCCAAAUAGCAAAGUUUCUGGCAGGUUAAGGGAAGGGGUGGGAGAACAAGAUUACUUUUAUGAGACGUAUUUAAGAGAGAAAUUCUAGAUGACCUUGGCUUUGGCAAAAUCUUCCCAGGCGAUAAAGGUCAUAUGAAUUUCUCCAAUAUAUCUGUGAAUGGAUUGAUGUGUUACUGCAUUUCUAUUACUCUGUGAGUGAACCUCACAAACUCCAGGUACUUUACUUCCAUAUUAUGAGUUGAAAGGGAUAAGAGGGAUUAAGAAAAAGUAAGAUUCCCAUUUACUCUUUUGUAAAAAUUUCAAACCAAGUUUGCUUCCACCAUGUACAAAGAGGCAUUAGGCAAGGGGCUUACUCUUUGUGUGAGAAGUUGCUGCAUGCUGCAGAAAUCUGUGGCUGGGCUCUCAAGAUGGCCUAUUGAAGGCCAGAGGUCUCCUUUCUCCUGAAAUUCAAAGGUCUGGCUAUAGGAGAGAAGCAUGCAGGGAAGAUUCCUCCACAAAAGGUCGAAGUUGGCCCCUCAUCCGAGACAGAUACCAUCAUAGGGCAACAGGGGGUCUCAAGAUCAGUGGGUUGAAUUUCCUGCCUCUCUUUAGGGGCCUUCACACUUACAAAAAUUAAUCCUUUUGAUUGACUCUGUCUCCUAAUCUUGAAGAUAAGCUCAGAACAUUUACCAGUUCUCAGCACUGCUUACCAGGCCAAGUCUUAGCACCAAAUUAUGAAUUUUGUCAUCAGUGACCUUUCCAACCUUCCCUUUUUACUUGCCCACUUGGUAACUCAAGUCCUCUGCCUUCCUUUUCCGUCAAAGUGUUUGGGAUUGUUAAGGAUUUAAAGCGAUCAAAUCAUUUAAUCUUUUCAUUUUCAGAAGAGAAAACUAAGAUCUAAAGAGGUUAGAUGACUUCCCUAAAGAUAUGCUUUUAAAUCCUCUUGGUGAUUUCAAUAUAAGGCGUCUGAGUUACUGAUGUUGGGGAAUCAUUAUUAAUUGGUUUCAUAUGUAGGUCACAAAAAUUUUAAUUUGGUACUGCUUAUCAUUUCCAGAUAUUCAAGUGUCAAUGCAGGUAUGUUUCAAGACAAUUUAAAUAUGUAUAUUUAUAUAUAUAUGUGUAUAUAUAUAUAUAUAUCAUCUCCACAUAUCGUUCAUUUUUUAAAACGUCUUAGCAAAAUCUUUUGGGAUAUGAGUUCUUUGCCACUAUUUUGAAAAUAAUUUUAAACUAUGAAAGUAAAAAUUGUCUUCCACUUAAAGAGUAUAGAUCUAAGAAAAAGGAGUAAACAAAUUAAGUUUGUGAAACAUUAACAAGACAUUAGUGAUUCAAAUACUGUAGAGCGUGAACACAACUGUCAGGUGGACUUCUAUAAAAAAAACUAGGUUACUUGCUUCUUGGGUAAGCAUGUAGGUAAGACAUCUCAGGGCUGGCAUGCAAGGAUGACUAGACUGGAAGGCAGAGGCAUCUGGCCUAGGAAUCCUAAAGUGCUAUCAAUCUUGCUCAAGACAGCUAUUUCCAUCUCCUCCACAUUUUUUGUAACCCUGCUUGAUGCAAAACGGUUCCCAGGAGGCUUCUACCUGCCAAAUGAACUUCGGCUUUUCUAUAGAACCACUGAUGUGGGAAAUCUUACAAAUAAGCAACCUCAGCGGAAUAUUUUAUCAUUGACAUAUUGGCAUCACCUUGUCCUUGUUCCCAAUGUAAAGGUUUCGCUACCUGCUGAAUUGGUCUUCUCAAGUUUAUUUUGUCAACUCUGUCAGAGAGAGUUAUGAUGGAUUUUUAGUGUGGAAAAGAAGUUGUUAGUCUUUCAGGUAAAUGUUACAUCUUUGGAUAUAUUUUCCAAUAAAAUAUUUUAGUGCUGAAGUAAACAAAAUUGUGUAAUUUUUGUGAACUUAUUAGAAAUCCUCCUAGAUGUCAAUGUUACUAAUUUUAUUAAAAUAAACAUUAAAACAUUUUCUAUAACUUAAAACAUGGUCUUAACAUACUGAGAAAUCAUAAUUUAACAUUAAAGGAAAUAUUAAACAUCA
rnacentral:lncRNA from 1 species